rnacentral:lncRNA from 1 species
AUUCACAAGAAUCAUCAUCAUAUACAACAAACUCUACAUUUUUCUGGGAAAACUUCAAAAACCCCCCUAUGUGGUUUUAUAGUUUCUCACUUUGCCCCCUUGUAGUUUAAAAUAUAUCAAAUUGCCCUCUUGUGGUUUCGUUUUUAUCUUUUCGGUAACUUUUUCGUUAAUAUUUCAUUAAAUUAUAUAUAAAAAACUUCAGAUAUCCAUCUAGAUUUAUCAAAUAUUCACUUUAGUACCCUUUAAUUUUAACUUUAUCACUGAUUUAAGAAAAAAAAAUAAUGAAAUUGAUAAGAAAAAGAAAAAAAAGAAACCACAUGGGGGCAAAUUGAUACAUUUUAAACUAUAGGGGGGCAAAGUGAGAAACUACGAAACCGCAUGGGGUUUUUUGAAGUUUUUCCUUUUUUCUAAUUAACCAACAAGUUUUCAAAUACAUCUUUUCCUUUU